rnacentral:tRNA from 1 species
CCUCUCAUGGCGUAGUGGUUAACGCGCCCCAACUAGAGAUCGGGGAGUCGUGAGUUCGAUUGUCACUGAGAAGA